UCACGACUUUUAGUAUUUGAAAAAUAAAAUUUUUCUUUUUUUUUCUUACUUGAUACUGUACAGACUAAAGCAAUAAAUAUUUUAUUGUUAAAAUUAAUCUCAAAAUAAAAUGAAAAAUAUUAAAAAUUAUAUUUCCUCUAGAGUGCAUUUAAAUAAAACUCAGCGGUUGCAUGUACUAGUGCUAUUUAUAUGUAUAUAUAAUAUAUAUAAUAACAAAAUAUAGAGAAUAUAAAAUUGAUAUGCUAUAUCGAGUGCAUGUGACAAGAUAAAAGUAUUUUUAUUUAUUUAUUAUAGUAAUAACUCCAGUGAAUGUUUUACUUCAGUGAGGAAUAGAGCUAAAGUACUUACGCUAUUUUUUCGCUGGGCGAUCUCCAUGGCACGUCAUCGUCCAUCUCGUCUUCAGACUCGUCGGCCUCGUGGUCAAGUGACUCUUGACCCGGGCUCAGUAGAUGAGGAUUAGGAUCCAUAGCACGUGGGACGUCAAGAUGAUUUCCUGUGAUUGGAGUUUGUGGAGUUGAUCCACUUUCGCGCAAACAUGGCCGUGAAUCAGAUAGAUUUGAUGGGUCCAAGUAUGUCGCUACAAAUAUUAAUAUUUAUUUUGUGUUAUUUUAUAUUAAUCCAUUAAUUAUUAUUACAAUUAUUAUUAAUAAUUAAAAAUUAAUAAUAAUAAUAAUAAUUUAAGACCUUACAUUAAUUUAAAAAGUCUAAAGAAUUUAUUUAUUUCGAAGCGGGAAAAGUAUUUAAAUUUGAAUUUAAAUUUAAAUCUAAAUCUAAUUAAUUAUCUAAAAAAAUUUUUAAUUUAUCAACAGCAAUCGGCCAUCGUAAUGAGGAACAGGGUAAGCAAUUAAAGUUAUUCAAAGACUUUUACCAGAGAUAAUUAGAACAUCAAAAGCAGUAUCCAAUUAAAUUUAAGCAAACAAUUAACAAGCCAAUAAAUAAGCUCGUAAUUUUUUUUAAAUUUUAGCGAUAAGCCGCAUGCGGAAUUUAAAUUUUUUUAUCACCAGUGGCAUCAAAACUAAUUAUUUUUUUUUUUUAUUGUAACUGAGCAUCGAAGUCUAAAUCAAUCACAUUUAAACUAAACAAGCUUCUCUAUAGUACCUACGAAUGUUUUUCAUUUUUUUUUUGUUCACGAUGGAAUAAAGUUUUUAUAUGCAUUCGGUAAUAAACCUGGUUACAAGCGCGAUAUUGCGAAUGCCAUAAGCAAAAUAACAAAAAAAUAUUAUUUUGUAAAUGUUAAUUAAAAAUAUAAAAAUAAAUAUUUAUUGAUUUUUUUUUAAAUUAAAUAAUAAUAAUAAUAAAUAAAAAAAAGUCAUUAAUAAAAGCACAGUUAGUUCAUUUAA